AAAAGGAAAUUGGNGCGGGGGGAGCCACCCCCAAGGGGGUUGAAGNCUUNNCCGGUUUCNANUUGGAANUUCANNCCCCCAGAAAUUCUNACCCCGGAGNGCCCAGCAGAUUUGAAGGGUCCAAGCUUGAAAGGCUUUUNCCCAGACCAAGCUUANGAGGUGGGUNCAUGNCCCGUUCGCCCAGCNUCGUUCCCGUGGAGAUGUCCCUGUUAAGUCAGGUAACGAGCGAGAUCCNCUGCCCANUAGUUGCUAUCAUUAUUCUUCAGGAAUAGUGGGGCGAAUUAGUGGGACUGCCGUUGUUAAAACGGANGAAGGAAGGGGCUNCGGCAGGUCAGUAUGCCCCGAAACUCUGGGGCCACACGCGGGCUGCAAUGGUAGUGACAAUGAGUUCCAAACUCGAAAGAGAGUGGCAAUCUCUAAACGCUACCACAGUUAUGACUGAGGGCUGUAACUCGCCCUCACGAAUAUGGAAUUCCUAGUAACCGCGUGUCAUUANCGCGCGGUGAAUACGUCCCUGCUCCUUGCACACACCGCCCGUCGU
rnacentral:rRNA from 1 species